GCGCACUCGGCGGCGCAGGAGGCUCGCUGAGGAGGCGCAGGAGGAGGAGGAGGAGGGUCGGUCCCUCAGCGAGGAGAGAUGAUGAAGCUGCUGGCAUUGUGGUCUUCAGGUUCUCUCCCUCCACACCUAGAGAAUGCCUGAGUUAGAUAAGGAGAAAAAAGAGGACUUGGGAUGACAUGUUCAAUGAGAUCCUGCAAGCUCAUGUUGCAUUGGACAGUCAGCACAAGGCCUGGAGGAUGAACACUGAGGGCAGCCUGGAGAAGGAAAGACUGGAGAGGAGAAAAGUCUGGGAGUCCCAGCAGGAAAAGGAGAUGGAGAUGCACCAGGACAUAAUGAGUCUUGUCAGGCAGAAAAAACAGAUGUUGCAGAUCCUAGUGCAUCUGCAGGUUCAACAGUCCUGGCCUUGCCUUCCUCUGCAGCCCAUUGAGAACUCAAUAUUGGGACCUACCUAUACUCCCCUCAUUCUACAUGGCAUCAAGGGUCACUGCACUAUCCCUAGCGCUCCGGUCUGUGGGACAUUAAAGACAAUCACACCUUCCCAUACACUGACAUGUGAAACUCAAAGCUGGUGUAUGUGUAGCUGAAAUGGACAUGAAUAUUGGUCCCAGGCAGCCUUUUACUGUCUGUGUGCACACAUAGAGGUGAUGGAGAUGGUCAGCGAAGUUUUCCCAGGUGUCCUGAAUAUACACCUUGCAUAUCUGCUGCUCUAGACCUUGCUGCACAAGCUCUAUUAAGUACUUAAAAGAUUCCUGAGUCACUGAGAAGAACAAUGAGAAUUGUCUAAAACUGAUAUAGACCUUGUCCCUUCACAAGUAUUGUCUUCUUAUGCUCCAAUACAAAUGUACGAACUGGCAGAUUCUCACCAGCCCCCGGUGGUUCAGCAGACAGUCAUUAAUGCACUAAUUCUAAUAAAGGGGGUGAAUCAGUAUCUAAUUUAUC